NUGCCUUAAACUUAUGAGUAAGGAAAAUAACGAUUCGGGGUGACGCCCGAGUCCUCACUGCUUAUGUGAGAAGAAUUUUUGAGCGGGUAUAGGUUGCAAUCUGAGCGACCCGCCUACUUUGCGGGAUGCCUGGGUGACGCGAUCUGCCCG
rnacentral:snRNA from 1 species